rnacentral:rRNA from 1 species
CGCCGCGUGAGUGAUGAAGGUUUUCGGAUCGUAAAACUCUGUUGUUAGGGAAGAACAAGUACCGGAGUAACUGCCGGUACCUUGACGGUACCUAACCAGAAAGCCACGGCUAACUACGUGCCAGCAGCCGCGGUAAUACGUAGGUGGCAAGCGUUGUCCGGAAUUAUUGGGCGUAAAGCGCGCGCAGGCGGUUCCUUAAGUCUGAUGUGAAAGCCCCCGGCUCAACCGGGGAGGGUCAUUGGAAACUGGGGAACUUGAGUGCAGAAGAGAAGAGUGGAAUUCCACGUGUAGCGGUGAAAUGCGUAGAGAUGUGGAGGAACACCAGUGGCGAAGGCGACUCUUUGGUCUGUAACUGACGCUGAGGCGCGAAAGCGUGGGGAGCAAACAGGAUUAGAUACCCUGGUAGUCCACGCCGUAAACGAUGAGUGCUAAGUGUUAGAGGGUUUCCGCCCUUUAGUGCUGCAGCAAACGCAUUAAGCACUCCGCCUGGGGAGUACGGCCGCAAGGCUGAAACUCAAAGGA